GUCGACGAUUUGGCGGACGGGUGAGUAAUGUAUCGGAACGUGCCUUUCAGUGGGGGAUAACGUAGCGAAAGUUACGCUAAUACCGCAUAUUCUGUGAGCAGGAAAGCAGGGGAUCGCAAGACCUUGCGCUGAUUGAGCGGCCGAUAUCAGAUUAGCUAGUUGGUGAGGUAAAGGCUCACCAAGGCGACGAUCUGUAGCGGGUCUGAGAGGAUGAUCCGCCACACUGGAACUGAGACACGGUCCAGACUCCUACGGGAGGCAGCAGUGGGGAAUUUUGGACAAUGGGCGCAAGCCUGAUCCAGCCAUGCCGCGUGAGUGAAGAGGGCCUUCGGGUUGUAAAGCUCUUUCAGCCGGGAAGAAAACGCAUGGGUUAAUACCCUGUGUGGAUGACGGUACCGGAAUAAGAAGCACCGGCUAACUACGUGCCAGCAGCCGCGGUAAUAAUCUCUAGA
rnacentral:rRNA from 1 species